rnacentral:lncRNA from 1 species
UUUACGAGCACAAAGCAACCAACAAAAAUACUAACUUAUAUUCAUCAUUCUCACACCCACAACAUCAACAAGAUCUAUAAAAUAUAAACUUCAUAUACUGAGAGGAAGAUCUGCUACCCAGCUAUGAUAACACCACACUCCACAAGCGAACGCCAAAUGGAGAAAGAAGAAAGCAGUUGCACUUGCACUUGGAGGAGAGGAAGAUCGGCGACAAAGGGAGAAAGAAGAAAGGGUGUAGGGUUGGCUUUACUGUGAGAUGGGGCACAAUAAUUUAACUUUUUAUAAAAUUAAUAGGCUAACAUAACUAGACUUAUAGGACUUAGGGGUACAGUUGGUAUUAAAGUAAAAUUAGGAGGUGCAGAACGAGAUGAGGGAGGUGCAGGGAGAAGCACUCUUGGCUAUGCCAUGGACUUGAGGUAGAGUAUUGGGAGAACAAGUCUUACAGUGGUGGGUAACAAAAAAAAAAAACUGUAAAUAUAAAGCAAGCAGUGCAAAGUUCAAAUUUCCUCAGGAAACUUCCACUGUCACAAUCAAGCAAAAUCCUACACGAAGACCAACCCAUUCUCAUACACUGCAAUACUUUGGACAGAUGCACCUUAAUUUUAACAUCUUUUAGCCAAAUGAAAAAUUGAGACACAUAACACCAUAAGAGCAUGAAAGAUAAAUUAUUCCAUACAACAUCAUCCCC